rnacentral:rRNA from 1 species
UUGAACGCUGGCGGCAUGCCUUACACAUGCCAGUCGAACGGCAGCACGGGUGCUUGCACCUGGUGGCGAGUGGCGAACGGGUGAGUAAUACAUCGGAACAUGUCCUGUAGCGGGGGAUAGCCCGGCGAAAGCCGGAUUAAUACCGCAUACGAUCUACGGAUGAAAGCGGGGGACCUUCGGGCCUCGCGCUAUAGGGUUGGCCGAUGGCUGAUUAGCUAGUUGGUGGGGUAAAGGCCUACCAAGGCGACGAUCAGUAGCUGGUCUGAGAGGACGACCAGCCACACUGGGACUGAGACACGGCCCAGACUCCUACGGGAGGCAGCAGUGGGGAAUUUUGGACAAUGGGCGAAAGCCUGAUCCAGCAAUGCCGCGUGUGUGAAGAAGGCCUUCGGGUUGUAAAGCACUUUUGUCCGGAAAGAAAUCCUUGGCCCUAAUACGGUCGGGGGAUGACGGUACCGGAAGAAUAAGCACCGGCUAACUACGUG